UUAAUCGGUGUUAUAGAUUUCAUUUUAUUUAAGUUCUGGUAAAGGACUCCAAAACUGCAUAUGUGCAAAAGUAAACUGCCAAAAAUUUUCCAGAGGCUAUUUCGGUAAUUUAUUUUGUGAGAAAAAUUCCGGGCUUUCGGGAAAUGAAAAUAUGUGGUAUUAUGUAGCUCGUUUCCAAAAAUGAGCUAAUUCCGAGUUAAAACGGCCAAGUUAUGACUAUUCUAAUUUUUGCGAUUUUCCGACGGAAAUCGCUA
rnacentral:lncRNA from 1 species